CCUACGGGGGGCAGCAGUAGGGAAUAUUGCUCAAUGGGGGAAACCCUGAAGCAGCAACGCCGCGUGGAGGAUGAAGGUUUUCGGAUUGUAAACUCGUUUUGUUAGGGAAGAUAAUGACGGUAUCUAACGAAUAAGCACCGGCUAACUCCGUGCCAGCAGCCGCGGUAAUACGGAGGAUGCAAGCGUUACUCGGAAUCACUGGGCGUAAAGAGCGCGUAGGCGGGAUAGCAAGUCAGAUGUGAAAUCCUAGGGCUUAACCACAGAACUGCAUUUGAAACUGUUAUUCUAGAGUAUGGGAGAGGUAGGUGGAAUUCUUGGUGUAGGGGUAAAAUCCGUAGAGAUCAAGAGGAAUACUCAUUGCGAAGGCGACCUGCUAGAACAUAACUGACGCUGAUGCGCGAAAGCGUGGGGAGCAAACAGGAUUAGAUACCCUAGUAGUC
rnacentral:rRNA from 1 species